GGGUGCCUGAGGCUUUCUGAGUCAGGCAUUUGCAGGGUUCAGAAAGGUGAAAGCCCCAGGAAAGAGUGUUAUCAACCUGAGGCUUACAUCCCAACCCUCGACAAGUUGGUUGUUAGUCUCUUUUUUGCAAGGAGGCAAUGACAUGCUAACAACGAAG
rfam:Kluyvera intermedia strain CAV1151, complete genome.